UCAACUCGGGCACCAUGCUUGCCUUUUCUUCUCUUAUUUAUUUCACAAUUUUUUGGAGUGAUAUUUGUAUUAAAUGUUAGAUACUUUAGCGCAAUGAUGUUGUAGGCUUAGUAGAGUUGAAUUGAGCUAAAGAACCUUGUACAUUAACCUUUUUUAGGAAUCUUAUACUAAGCAAAUUUGUCACUUUCCAAUUCACUACGAAUGUAUCUUAGAAUUAGGGUUAGAGAUGAUAUGACUAGGCCGACAACUUGGUAUUUUUUCAUUUAUAAGUUUAGAACACAUUUCACCUUAAGCCAAUGCCUGUUUGAAACCUUGGAUGAUAAUAUUUGAUUCUGAAACAUGUAUUGAUUCAAGUGGUUCCUUUUUUAGGCUUGUUUGGUAAGUAGUAUUGGACGGUCGAGUCUAAAAUAUCAAACAUGGCAUUUUUUUUAUUUAAUUUUGUGUCCUCUUUGUGGAUUGAUAUGAUGCUUAAUUUUGGAGGCUCCGAGUUUGAAUUUACAUUAGUUAAUGUGUGCCAGUCAAAAGUUCUUUAGUUUAGUAGUUUCAUGUCGCAAGAAUAUGUAAUAAUCUGUAGCAGUUGGCAUGUCCAUUUGGAUCAAUUGUAAGAGGUUUUUUAAUGGGAGUGGAUAAUGUUUGGCUAAGCUCCCUUUUACUUUUAAGCAAAUUUUUAUUUUCAAACAUGUUUUAAGUUGGUUCCUUUCAAAGUAAAAAAGUUGCUUAUUUUCUUAGUAAUUAAUAAUAUGCUUCUUGCAACGUAAGCGUAUUAGGGAAGUGUUUAUAGAUGAUUUAAAUUAUAAAUAAAUAGAAAUGAGAUGUGAAUAAGAUAAAAUUUGUGAAUCUUUCGAAAAAUGUGGAUGAAAAGUACUUGGAUAUUUAUAAAUUUAAGACAGACGUGGGCCAAUUCAUAUCAUGGUGCUCGAACCUUGGUUUGAUGUGUUCCUGAACCGAUAAACAUCUUUAGGUUUACUCAAUUUUAGCUCUUACAAAAUAAUGUAGUUCAAUCUUAUGUAUCUUUUGUGCCCUUCUUUGUUGAGUUCUUCAUAGAUUUGAUUGUUAAGAUCACAUGAAGAAGAAGAUAGCAGACUUACAAUAAUGAAGAGAGAUGUUGUCGAGCUCCAAUUCAAUUUCUUUAGAAUGGUAGAAACGACACUACAGUAGAAUAAUAGAUUUGAGUAAAGCUUAUGUCAAUUUGAUUAAGUUGGGCUUGAAUUGAAAAUUAGAAAUAAGAAAAAUCAUAUUUUUGGGUUUGAGCUAAAUUAACUAGUUAGCAAAUUUAUUUAGAACAAAAUAAAAUAAUUAGGCUCACUUAAAAUAAAUAAAUUAAAAUAUUAGGGAGAUUCGGUUCUUGAUCUAGAAUCGAGAACCAAACCUAACCCGUUGGUUCUGGAUUCUGAUACCCAUUUAGGUAUUUAACUUAAGAAGAGCCCUUUGGGUCCGGUUCAUUUCGGGUCCAAUUCGGUUGGUUCGGUUCGGGACUUUUGUCCAAACCUAGUUCACACCAACUUGUAUUGUACGCUCCAACCCAAUAAUGCUGUCCCAAAUAUUCAAUACUUUUUUAAGCAAUGGAGAGUCAUCUUUUUUCAGCGUAUAUUCCCAAAUGUCCAUACCUUGAAGGUGUACCUGAUUUACCCAUUUAAUCCAAAGAGUAUAUCCUUCUUGCUAUGGAUGUUCUGAAGUGUUUUGGAGAGUAGUGCAACAUUCCAACUUUUAAUAUUUCUAAAACCAAGCUCUCCCUCAUGCUUUGGUAAGAAAAUUUGAUUCCAAGCAGGCAACAUUUUUUUGAUCCCCAUAGGAAGUUCCAGCAUAAACUAAUGAGUUUAGAAGCCACCGUUGCCGAAAUGGGGAAAAUGGAUAACCAAAAAAAUUCCACUCCUUGUAAGAUGGUUCUCACAGGGCAUCUUGUAAAACCAGAUAUAAAGUGUAACUCAAGUAACUUAUUUGAUCACCCAUAUUUGUUAAAUGUAGGCUACUUAAGUUUCCGUGUUCUGCUGCAGGGCCAAGUGAAACACAGAGUAUCCUCACGUGGCAAAUAUGUAUCGGUGAACAUUGGACCUGUUCAAGUAGUUUGUAGUGAGCAGGUGCUCUCUCUCUCUCUAUGUGCAAUUGUGUAGCUAUGCAUGUGGACGUACAACAGAAAAAAUAGUGACAUCAACAUGCGUAGUGCAAUGACUUUCAUGUCCAUCAACAAAAAAAUGUCGAAAGAUGUUUAUAUACAGCAUUACAUAUGAAUAAUGUAAUUGAAUCUAUGUUCUCCAGGUUCAAGCAGUAUACAAUGCUAUGAGAAGAGAUGACAGGAUGAAAUACUUUUUGUAGAUGUUUUAUUGAAUUCUCUAUGGCAGGCUUAUCAACUCGGGCACCAUGCUUGCCUUUUCUUCUCUUAUUUAUUUCACAAUUUUUUGGAGUGAUAUUUGUAUUAAAUGUUAGAUACUUUAGCGCAAUGAUGUUGUAGGCUUAGUAGAGUUGAAUUGAGCUAAAGAACCUUGUACAUUAACCUUUUUUAGGAAUCUUAUACUAAGCAAAUUUGUCACUUUCCAAUUCACUACGAAUGUAUCUUAGAAUUAGGGUUAGAGAUGAUAUGACUAGGCCGACAACUUGGUAUUUUUUCAUUUAUAAGUUUAGAACACAUUUCACCUUAAGCCAAUGCCUGUUUGAAACCUUGGAUGAUAAUAUUUGAUUCUGAAACAUGUAUUGAUUCAAGUGGUUCCUUUUUUAGGCUUGUUUGGUAAGUAGUAUUGGACGGUCGAGUCUAAAAU
rnacentral:lncRNA from 1 species